UCCGCUCUUUUGAGUAGCGAUAUUACGCCCUCUGGUGAGGGUGACAGAUUGCUCUUUUGAAAGACUGGAACUUGAGAAGCUUUUUUUUGGUAGCAGUUACAUAACACCUCUUCCCCCCUACAGAUAAGCACGACGCAGUUGUCACAAAAGAUCUAUUUAUAUUUCCCAAACGAAGUGAAAAACGCAGUGUCGGCCUGGCGGGUGCGGAAAUUUUAAACAGACUAUUAGCCGCUCAAAGUUGAACCUCCUUUGAAUUCUUGUACUUCCCUGUAUGAAAAACUUUUAAGAUAAAUGACGUAAACACGUAGUCAUGCACCUUGUCCUUUCGUUCUUGGAAGUUCAAGGGGAUAUUUAGAAGUGGAUUUUUCAUCCUGCGAACAGUUUUAACUCAACUGAAGGUAAAGUAACUAAAGAUACAUAGAAUGUUAAGUUCUGGUCUACGAAUUCCUGGAUUUCCAAAUGGGCAAGAUACACCGGACACAUAUCGCGGAGAGCUAGGAAGUCCGCAACGAGUUCCAUCUAAUUAUCAUCCGCAAUACGCUAAUCAGCUGAACGAAGCGGACAGUGUUAUUCCCCAUUCGAGUGCACGUCCCCCAAGUGUGAACCAUGCUAGUGAAAUUAAUUCUAUACAUGCAUCG